GGGAAGGUGGCUCAGUGGUAGAGCACUUGCCUUGCAUGCAUGAGGCUCUGAGUUCGACUCCUCAGACCACCUA
rfam:Dipodomys ordii contig_79342, whole genome shotgun sequence.